rnacentral:rRNA from 1 species
AUACGGAGGAUCCGAGCGUUAUCCGGAUUUAUUGGGUUUAAAGGGUGCGCAGGCGGCCAUUUAAGUCAGCGGUUAAAUCGUGGGGCUCAACCCCAUUCUGCCGUUGAUACUGGGUGGCUUGAUUGCGGUCGAGGUAGGCGGAAUUCGUCGUGUAGCGGUGAAAUGCUUAGAUAUGACGAAGAACUCCGAUUGCGAAGGCAGCUUACGGGAGCGCAACUGACGCUGAUGCUCGAAGGUGCGGGUAUCGAACAGGAUUAGAUACCCUGGUAGUCCGCACGGUAAACGAUGGAUGCCCGCUGUCCGGUCCCUGUGACCGCGCGGCCAAGCGAAAGCGUUAAGCAUCCCACCUGGGGAGUACGCCGGCAACGGUGAAACUCAAAUGAAUUGACGGGG